AACGGGCCCCAAGACCUUUGCGAUGAGCAAAUGGAAGGGUUCUGAGUGGAAGAAUUUUUACAUGUAUGCCUUCCCCAUUGUGCUCGACGUUCUCCAACAAAAUUGCAAUGGGGGUUCAGCAAAGGUUGGCAUUAUAUGUUGUAUAGGCUUAGCCAACGAGUCAUAACAGGAGUGGACAUAGUUUGGGAAUUUUUUAAUUUUGCCGUUUCAAAAUUUUAGGGCUACCGUCAUUAAUAGGAUUUGUAGCCACUCUGAAAGAAUAUAUCAAAAAUCGUAUAGUUUUACCGAAAAAUGUAAAGGAUACAAGCCAUCAAAGUUUACUACACUCAUUGAAGUAAUUUUCCGAUUUUAUCCUUGCAGUUGUUAUGAUAAAAUCGGAAAAAAUUGCUCCAGUCAGUGUAGUAAACUUUGACGGCUUGUAUUCUUUACAUUUGCCGGUAAAAUUUUACGAUUUUUGGUACAUGCUUUCAAAGUGGACCAGGCUACAAAUCCUACUAAUGACGUUGGCCCGUCAAAUUUUGAAACAGCAAAAUUAAAAAUUUCAACUAACUGUCCACUUCUCCUGGUAUAGGACUCAUUGGCUUAGCUAACAUCUUGAUUGGCGUUUGCCUAACAAAACUUUUAUUCCAAACAGGUUUUUUCGUACUACACCUUCCUCAUGCGUGCCCUCCUGUUGGACGAGGAGUGUUCCACCACUUGCAAGAAAGAUGUAACCUGCCUGGCAUAAUGAUGACAUUCUACAAGCUUUACCAGAAGUC